AGCGAACGCUGGCGGCAGGCCUAACACAUGCAAGUCGAACGAACCCUUCGGGGUUAGUGGCGGACGGGUGAGUAACACGUGGGAACGUGCCUUUAGGUUCGGAAUAACUCAGGGAAACUUGUGCUAAUACCGAAUGUGCCCUUCGGGGGGAAGAUUUAUCGCCUUUAGAGCGGCCCGCGUCUGAUUAGCUAGUUGGUGAGGUAAUGGCUCGCCAAGGCUACGAUCAGUAGCUGGUCUGAGAGGAUGACCAGCCACAUUGGGACUGAGACACGGCCCAAACUCCUACGGGAGGCAGCAGUGGGGAAUCUUGCGCAAUGGGCGAAAGCCUGACGCAGCCAUGCCGCGUGGAUGAUGAAGGUCUUAGGAUUGUAAAAUCCUUUCACCGGUGAAGAUAAUGACUGUAGCCGGAGAAGAAGCCCCGGCUAACUUCGUGCCAGCCGCCGCGGUAAGAC
rnacentral:rRNA from 1 species